rnacentral:rRNA from 1 species
GAUGAACGCUGACAGAAUGCUUAACACAUGCAAGUCCACUUGAAUUUGGGUUUUUAACUUAGGUUUGGGUGGCGGACGGGUGAGUAACGCGUAAAGAACUUGCCUCACAGCUAGGGACAACAUUUGGAAACGAAUGCUAAUACCUAAUAUUAUGAUAAUAGGGCAUCCUAUAAUUAUGAAAGCUAUAAGCGCUGUGAGAGAGCUUUGCGUCCCAUUAGCUAGUUGGAGAGGUAACGGCUCACCAAGGCGAUGAUGGGUAGCCGGCCUGAGAGGGUGAUCGGCCACAAGGUGACUGAGGCACGGCCCUUACUCCUACGUGAGGCAGCAGUGGGGAAUAGUGGACAAUGGACCGAGAGUCUGAUCCAGCAAUUCUGUGUGCACGAUGAAGUUUUUCGGAAUGUAAAGUGCUUUCAGUUGGGAAGAAACAAAUGACGGUACCAACAGAAGAAGUGACGGCUAAAUACGUG